rnacentral:rRNA from 1 species
UACGAAGGGGGCUAGCGUUGUUCGGAAUCACUGGGCGUAAAGCGCACGUAGGCGGAUCUUUAAGUCAGGGGUGAAAUCCCGAGACUCAACCUCGGAACUGCCUUUGAUACUGGGGAUCUCGAGUCCGGGAGAGGUGAGUGGAACUGCGAGUGUAGAGGUGAAAUUCGUAGAUAUUCGCAAGAACACCAGUGGCGAAGGCGGCUCACUGGCCCGGAACUGACGCUGAGGUGCGAAAGCGUGGGGAGCAAACAGG